CAGCAGCCGCCGCGGUAAAACGGAGGGUGCAAGCGUUAUCCGGAUUUAUUGGGUUUAAAGGGUCCGUAGGCGGAUCUGUAAGUCAGUGGUGAAAUCUCACAGCUUAACUGUGAAACUGCCAUUGAUACUGCAGGUCUUGAGUAAAUUUGAAGUGGCUGGAAUAAGUAGUGUAGCGGUGAAAUGCAUAGAUAUUACUUAGAACACCAAUUGCGAAGGCAGGUCACUAAGAUUUAACUGACGCUGAUGGACGAAAGCGUGGGGAGCGAACAGGAUUAAAGACCCCAGUAGUCCCUGUCUCUUAUAC
rnacentral:rRNA from 1 species